CCCCUCUCAGUGUUGCACCUGGAGAGUUUCCAGUACUCUACCAGUCUUGGUUACGUGAUGGAGAAUCGAGCAGAGGCCUACCCAUUCCAUUCCUAGCUUGGGCAGUGGCUGGCGAGAGGAAGGCAAUCUGCUUCAAGU